GAUCGAGCAGGGAUACGACGAGAUGAGUCAGCUAACUAAAAAGACUGGACGAGACGGCGGUGUAAACAGACAGAUUGCAAUGUGCACAAUUGCAAGAUCCGCGAUUUUGAUCAAGAACCGUAGGAGAACACGCGGAAGGUCUAGAGUUGUCCGGAUUUAUCGAGGAAAUCCGCAAGAAAGAGCGCAUCCCCCUAAAACGCGCUACUCUCGUCGUAUAUCAGCGCCAUCUCCUCUUCCGCGACUAUCCUGGACCAUCCUCUUCGCAAUCUCUCCCCUUACUACGCAAUCUUACCUCUCUCCUAGCUCUCUUCCUCGCGUGUUCGCGCAGGCCCCGAUUAAUUAAUUCCUACCUCAUUAGCGAACGCGGCCCCGGCGCGGCGUUCUCCUCUUCCGCGCGCUCGCCGUAUAUAAGUGGCGACCGGAUAUCGCGAAGCUUAUACGCGCCGCAAAUACGGAGGGGAGGCGCAUGUUGCAUAUUAUUAAUAACAACUGUUUGCGGACGGCUUUUCUGUUUUCCCACCCCUUUCCACCUCCUGUCCCCCGCUCGUUGCCAAUUUGUCGGCGUAGAUAUUGGAUUCAGGCGCUUUAACAACGCCGCAUUAUCGGCGCGGCCGGUGAUAAAAGACCGCGCGACGUUCCAGCCGGCCAGCGGUCUGGACCCCGAUGUUUUUCCAAGGGCGGUCGUUAUCCCCUUGUAAUCGUACCCGUGUCUCGUUAACGGAACGAGUCUAGAUUUUACUAUCUCCUCGCGCGCGCGCGCGCGCUCUCUCUCUCUCUCCAGGCGACCGAAUUCUUUUUUUGUCUCGGAACGCGCUAUCGUUCUGCUCGCUGUAUGUGUUUAUAGGAGAAGUGGUAAGAGUCUGGUACGCACAGUAUAUGUCAGAGCUGCAUUGAUAUUAAUAGCGUAAUGAUAAAUUAAUUGUAGAGAUCGGAUCGAUGCGUAUUAAAGAUCGCCUCGCAAUUGUGUCAAAUUCGAGUGACAGAAUUCAUGCGUUUUAAUUUAGACUGUAAUUUUAAGUUGCUCAGUGAUAAUUUAAAUUGAAACUUCAAUUCACGAACUAAUACGGUGCUUAACGUGUAAUAAUUAAUAAUAUUUGUGAUUGUGUCGCAGAUCAAUCCAACAUCUACGCCGACUGUGUCGCUGUAUACGUUUAAGAGAAGUGGUCAGAGUCUGUAUACGCAGUAUGUUAGAGCUGCAUUCAUAUUAAUAGUAAUGAUGAAUUAUAAUUGUAGAGCUCGAUGCGUAUUAAAGAUCGCCUCGCAAUCGUGUGAAAUCCGAGUGAUAGAAUUCAUGGGUUUUUAUUUAGACUGCAAUUUUAAUUUGUUCAGUGAUAAUUUAUAUUGAAAUUUGCGAAUUAAAACUUCGAUGCUUAACAUAUUAUAAUAUCUGUGAUUGUGCCAAAACAAAAAUACGACACGCUCCAAUUUUCGUCUUAUUUUAAGACGUCUUAUUUCGGGAGUGCCGUUCUUUCUGUCGUUUAAGCGUGACAUAAUUACUACGAUUUUCCGCGAAACGCGACCGUUCUUAUUUUUACAUCCGUUGCCUUUUAUACGCGCGAGGGUGCUCGUUACUGAAUAAAACGCUCUCGUACGUCCGGUCAACAAAACCUGAGAAAUUACGCGUUUGCAAACGAACGCUCGCACUGGGACGAAAAUGAAGGACAGAAAAAGAGAAAAAAGGGAGAAAGAAAGAGAGAAAGCCCCAAUGGUCGAAAAUGGUGGAAAAAUGUCCGAGAAGUUUUAGUUAAAUUACUUAGACCGUGGGAUUGCCCUGUUGGACGUAUACGACAGGGGAUAGCCUGAAGUCGAAAAGAGGAAGAGAGAGAGAGAGAGAGAGAGAUCGUGUGUAUGUGUGUGCAUUUGUGCUAGAGUAUACGAGGAGUUAGGGGGAGGUGAGCUAUCCCCAGCUAAGAGGGUUUGCUUGUAUCCCCCGAGAUGCGCAUACGUCAUCCGAUUAAAAUUAGUAAUUAGCUAAUUAACUUAAGCGCGCAGCACUCCGGACUAAGUAAGUUGACCGCCUGAUUAUGAUGCAUCGCUUCUGAGUUCGGUUUCGUGCGAAAAAGGCGCGCGUCGUUAAAAAAUCCACCACCCCGUGGCAAAACGAGAAAAGAUGAAACGGAGGAGGAUCUCUCCUAACGUCGAAUCACUCUCUUCGCGAUUUAUCUCACUCCGUGUGUAACUCAAUGGUACUUGUAAUAGCCACCGUAUACACGGAUAUAGAGUUAUAAAAAAAUCAUAGAAUUUCGAAAAUAUUGCUUCGUAGAAUUUUCAAUAACGCGAUAGCUAAGGUAAUUUUUAAGUAAUACUGAUUCAUUGUCCAAAGUCUUAACGAAUGAGAUAUGUUUCUUGAAAAAUAUAUUCAUCGAAAAGAUAAAGGCACAAAAGGAAAGUAAAAUUCAUUUAUCGCACGUGACAUCAUUCGACUCUUUGUUGUACAUCUAACCGUAGAAGAAAAGAAUAACUUUCGGUCAGAACGGAAACGCUCCUAGCAGAACAUUCCGCUCCGGGGUUAAGGAAUAAUAAGAGGAAUAGAAGAGAUCUUUUGCCACAUGUGUCAAGACGGCGCGUCGACGAGGGUGUGAAAUUGACGUAUUAUAUGCAUGAGAUGAUAUCUAUGGGGAGAGUCGAUCGUAUCUCCGUAUUCGAGGCGGUGCUCGCGGAGAAGGGACGCGAGCGCCGAGAGUGAUCCAGAAGUGCUUUCUCGUGUUCCUUAACUAACCGUUCGCCGGUCCUCCGGACGUCUCAUCGGUCGCACUUGCCUGCACCGAGAGAAGAAAACGAUGGAGAAAGAGAGACGGGGCGACGAGGACGACGACGGUAACACCACUAAGGACUGUAUCUUCGCCCACACCCCCUUAUCUUCUCGUUGCUCUUAUCCACCCCCUUAUCGCCCCUCCCCCGCAACUGCUCGGUCCUACCCUCAGAAAAACUUGGCGAAUGGCUUCGAAACGUCGCAGGUAUAUGCUCUCACCUUGGCUAUCGCUCGCAAUUUGCAAUGGCCUCGCGCAAAGUACACGAGCGCUAUUUUCGUGAAAUACUCCCUAUCUUAGACAAAUGCUUAAAAAAACCUGUAUGCACGAACUUUGGAAUUGUGUUGAGAAUUCAAAAACGUAGAGGGAAAAGUUUCCUGGAUCUCUCUCUCUCUCUCUC